UCCCCUCAGCCACCGCCACCUGCUGUCUCCCACUUCGGGAUCCCCAGAUGCAAGCCGAGCCAACCAUCGAGCCCCUCCCGAUCCACUUGCAGCCAACCAGAUCGAGCCAUCCACCACCAUGCACGAAGCUCCCCGCCAGCCCGUGCAACCUCUCUCGCACCGAAGCCGCAGGAGCAAUCGGCUCCAUCGCUGAACCGUAGCUCAGCCCACCGUCGUUCAUGCGUUGUUGACCGCGCCCCUGCAGAAGCUUGAAGCCACGACCGAGCCUGCCCACCGCGUUAGCUCUCAGCCUCCCAUCCUCACCUAUCGGGGCCCCUGCUCCGUCGCGUUGCUGCAGGAGCGGCGAGCCAGCGCUGUUCGCCUCUGCAUCGGACAGAGCGGCUCCAAACAGCCAGCUCAGGCCCAAGGAACUGGGAAUGGCUCUGUCUGUGCUUCUAUGAGAGCUUGACACCGCACCUUGGAGGAGCCAUGGGAGCAUCGUCCUCCUUGCAUCCGGGCGGAUCCGAAGUCUCAACGCUGGACCCCGCCGUCUCUGUUGCUCCCUGGCCUCCCGCCCUGCAAGCCCCGCCGCCGCGUGCUGCAUCUAAUGGUGUGAUCGGCAUGAGUUCAACGGAAACCAAGUCUCGGCCAUCGGUUUAGUUUAAAUUGCGUAGCGCCCAUUGUUGUACACAAGUACAGUUUUGGUGAAGUGGUUAGCUCCAUUGGUUAACAUCCAGGAGUCUUGGGUUCAAAUCCCACACAAUCCUAUUUUCCUUUUUGGUCCU